ACUCCAGUCACUGUUGUACAGGCAGGACAGCAUGUUUCUGCCUCAGGACCUUUGCACUUACUAUUGCCUUUGCCUGGAACAAUCUUUUCCCAGAUCCCUACAGUGCUUUCUCACUCAUUUUGCUAAGGUUCUUUUCUACCCUCCACCAACCAAUACCCCCAGGCUCCCCAUCUCCCUUCCCUCGCUUUGCAUAUCUCAGUGGCUUUUAUCACCAUCUAAUAUAGGCUACAUGCUUACCUGCUAAUUUGUUUGUCUAUCUCUUCCAUUGUAGAUGCUAUGAAGUUAGAGACUUUUUUUUUUAAGUCUCAGCUCAGGACUUCUCUGGUGGUCCAGUGUUUAAGAAUCUGCCUUCCAAUGCAAGGAAGCUUAUUUGGGGGGCCGACAGGAGAAUGAUCGCAACUCUGUCCAUGGUGGGAGCAGAUGUCAAAGGAGGCUUCCUGGAGGAGGUGACACACCCGAGCAAGACUUGAAAGAUAAAUAGAGCCCACUUUAGAGAUAACAGUGAGUCACCAAAGGACCAAGGGAUUUGCCAAGGUCAAGAAGAACAUUGAGGAAACAGCAUCAUGGUGCAUACAGAAGGCACGGAUAGACAGAGCACUUGCCCGUGAGACUGUCUCGUUUUUGUUGAGCUGCUUUUGGGAGGAAGUCCUUGCAACCUGGAGCCCUUUCCUACCACAGAGGAGAUUUCUGCUGGCUUCCUUGGAUCCUGGCAGCCUGGAGGGGCCUCUAGCUUUAUGCUUAAAGUAAAGGGUGAGUUGGGUGAUGGACACAAAGAAUACAGCAGAGGAAGAGGGGUUGCCUGCCUGCAUUGAGCUGGGGGCUUUCAAAUAGCUUCAUUUGGCUCACUGGCUGGUUGAGGGGAGGCCUGGAUUUCUGAUCACUGCAGGGACUGGAAAGCAAAGCUGGGCUUGAGGGCCACUGUGAAAAUGGACCAAGAGCCAGGAAAGACGUGGUUGCUGUGUCCCAUUGCUUCAUCAGCAGGAUGCUAAGUGGAUAGAGAAAAGCCUGGGAUUGGGCGUGGAGCACACUGGGUCCUGGGUUCAAGUGCUGUAUGACCCUGUACAUUGCAGAGCAGUGGUCGUGAAUGCAGGCUCUGGAGCCAGACUGCCUUGGUUCACAUCCCAGCUUCCCCACUCAAUAGAUCUGUGGGACUUCCCUCGUAGUUCAGCGGUAAAGAAUCUGCCCACCGACGCAGGGGACUCGGAUUCUAUCCCUGGUAUGGGAAGAUUCCACAGACCGCAGAGCAACUAUGCCUUGGAGCCUGAAUGUCUUAACAAGAGAAGCUGCAGCAAUGAGAAGCCUUCACACCGCAACUAGAGAGUAGCUGCAGCUCACCACAACUAGGGAAAAGCCGGUAUGCAGCAAUGAAGACUCAGCACAGCCAAGCACAAAUGAAUAAGAUAAAAUAAAUAGAUCUGUAGCCUCGGCUUCACCUCUCUGAGCCUGUUUUCUUAUCAGUAAAAUGGGGGAACAGUAGUUCCCACCCAGAGAUUUUUGGAAGCCUUAUACGAAUGAAUCAUGUGAUGUACUUAGGAAAAUGCCCAGCAAUAUAGUAAGUGCUCAAUAAAUGCAAUCUAUUA